rnacentral:rRNA from 1 species
GACGAACGCUGGCGGCGUGCUUAACACAUGCCAGUCGAACGGAAAGGCCCUGCUUUUGUGGGGUGCUCGAGUGGCGAACGGGUGAGUAACACGUGAGUAACCUGCCCUUGACUUUGGGAUAACUUCAGGAAACUGGGGCUAAUACCGGAUAGGAGCUCCUGCUGCAUGGUGGUGGUUGGAAAGUUUCGGCGGUUGGGGAUGGACUCGCGGCUUAUCAGCUGUUUGGUGGGGUAGUGGCUUACCAAGGCUUUGACGGGUAGCCGGCCUGAGAGGGUGACCGGCCACAUUGGGACUGAGAUACGGCCCAGAAUCCUACGGGAGGCAGCAGUGGGGAAUAUUGCACAAUGGGCGGAAGCCUGAUGCAGAAACGCCGCGUGCGGGAUGCCGGCCUUCGGGUUGUAAACCGCUUUCGAAUGUGACGAAGCGGGAGUGACGGUAAUGAGUAAAGAAGCACCGGCUAACUACGUG